GACCAAUUGGCGCGUGCCUAUACAUGCAAGUCGAACGAGUUCUCGUUGAUGAUCGGUGCUUGCACCGAGAUUCAACAUGGAACGAGUGGCGGACGGGUGAGUAACACGUGGGUAACCUGCCCUUAAGUGGGGGAUAACAUUUGGAAACAGAUGCUAAUACCGCAUAGAUCCAAGAACCGCAUGGUUCUUGGCUGAAAGAUGGCGUAAGCUAUCGCUUUUGGAUGGACCCGCGGCGUAUUAGCUAGUUGGUGAGGUAAUGGCUCACCAAGGCGAUGAUACGUAGCCGAACUGAGAGGUUGAUCGGCCACAUUGGGACUGAGACACGGCCCAAACUCCUACGGGAGGCAGCAGUAGGGAAUCUUCCACAAUGGACGCAAGGUUCUGAUGGAGCAACGCCGCGUGAGUGAAGARGGCUUUCGGGUCGUUAAAACUCUGUUGUUGGAGAAGAAUUGGUCGGCAGAGUAACUGUUGUCGGCGUGACGGUAUCCAACCAGAAAGCCACGGCUAACUACGUGCCAGCAGCCGCGGUAAUACGUAGGUGGGCAAGCGUUAUCCGGAUUUAUUGGGCGUAAAGCGAGCGCAGGCGGUUUUUUAAGUCUGAUGUGAAAGCCCUCGGCUUAACCCGAGGAAGCGCAUCGGAAACUGGGAAACUUGAGUGCAGAAGAGGACAGUGGAACUCCAUGUGUAGCGGUGAAAUGCGUAGAUAUAUGGAAGAACACCAGUGGCGAAGGCGGCUGUCUGGUCUGUAACUGACGCUGAGGCUCGAAAGCAUGGGUAGCGAACAGGAUUAGAUACCCUGGUAGUCCAUGCCGUAAACGAUGAAUGCUAGGUGUUGGAGGGUUUCCGCCCUUCAGUGCCGCAGCUAACGCAUUAAGCAUUCCGCCUGGGGAGUACGACCGCAAGGUUGAAACUCAAAGGAAUUGACGGGGGCCCGCACAAGCGGUGGAGCAUGUGGUUUAAUUCGAAGCAACGCGAAGAACCUUACCAGGUCUUGACAUCUUUUGAUCACCUGARAGAUCARGKUUCCCCUUCGGGGGCAAAAUGACAGGUGGUUGCAUGSUUGUCGUCAGCUCGUGUCGUGAGAUGUUGGGYUARKYCCCGCAACGAGCCGCAWCCCUUAUGACUAGUUGCCAGCAUUUAGUUGGGCACUCUAGUAAGACUGCCGGUGACAAACCGGAGGAAGGUGGGGAUGACGUCAAAUCAUCAUGCCCCUUAUGACCUGGGCUACACACGUGCUACAAUGGAUGGUACAACGAGUUGCGAGACCGCGAGGUCAAGCUAAUCUCUUAAAGCCAUUCUCAGUUCGGACUGUAGGCUGCAACUCGCCUACACGAAGUCGGAAUCGCUAGUAAUCGCGGAUCAGCACGCCGCGGUGAAUACGUUCCCGGGCCUUGUACACACCGCCCGUCACACCAUGAGAGUUUGUAACACCCGAAGCCGGUGGCGUAACCCUUUUAGGGAGCGAGCCGUCUAAAAGGGGGCCAAAAU
rnacentral:rRNA from 2 species